rnacentral:lncRNA from 1 species
UGGAAUAUGAUAAUCACCCAAUAAUAGCCCAUUAUUUGAUUUUAACAAUGAUUAAUAAAAUAACUACCCACUAAAUAUAAUAACUCCCACAUCCCGCAUUCUAGGAGAGGGAGUUAUGCUAUAACAACAUUUUUCACCCUAUAUAAAGAGAGAUAAGUGGGGAGGAGCAGGGUAAGAUUUUUUUACUCAACUUUUUACUCUUGCACUUUGGUUCUCUUGACUGUUCUUUAUCUCCAAUUAACUUAAGCAUCGGAGAAUCUUCGCU